GAUGAAGAACGUAGCGAAAUGCGAUAAGUAAUGCGAAUUGCAGAUUUCAGUGAGUCAUCGAAUCUUUGAACGCACAUUGCGCCCGCCAGUAUUCUGGCGGGCAUGCCUGUUCGAGCGUCAUUUCAACCAUCAAGCCCCCGGGCUUGCGUUGGGGCCCUGCGGCUGCCGCAGGCCCCGAAAAGCAGUGGCGGGCUCGCUAUCACACCGAGUGCAGUAGAUUACUCUUCGCUCAGGGCGUGCAGCGGGUUCCGGCCGUGAAACCCCCUACUUUUAAAGGUUGACCUCGGAUCAGGUAGGAAUACCCGCUGAACUUAAGCAUAUCAAUAAGCGGAGGA
rnacentral:misc_RNA from 1 species